AUUGAACGCUGGCGGCAGGCUUAACACAUGCAAGUCGAGCGAGCGGCGGACGGGUGAGUAAUGUCUGGGAAACUGCCUGAUGGAGGGGGAUACCUACUGGAAACGGUAGCUAAUACCGCAUACCAUCAGAUGUGCCCAGAUGGGAUUAGCUAGUAGGUGGGGUAAUGGCUUACCUAGGCGACGAGCCCGUGCUGGUCUGAGGGGAUGACCAGCCACAGGGGAGCGGGGCCACGGUCCAGAGUCGUAGAGAAGGCAGCAGUGGGGAAGGUUGCCCAAUGGGCGCAAGCCUGAUGCAGCCAGGCCGCGUGUGUGAAGAAGGCCUUCGUGUUGUAAAGCACUUUCAGCGAGGAGGCGUUACUCGCAGAAGAAGCACCGGCUAACUCCGUGCCAGCAGCCGCGGUAAUU
rnacentral:rRNA from 1 species